CCUCAUCUGCAACCGCACAACGUUAGGUUUCAAAGCACAGCACCUAACUUGGCGAGUCAUCAGGGGAUUA
rfam:Lactobacillus manihotivorans DSM 13343 = JCM 12514 strain DSM 13343 NODE_25, whole genome shotgun sequence.